rnacentral:tRNA from 24 species
GUCCCCAUCGUCUAGAGGCCUAGGACACCGCCCUUUCACGGCGGUAACAGGGGUUCGAAUCCCCUUGGGGAUGCCA